AACGCGAAGAACCUUACCUACCCUUGACAUGUCAGGAAGAUAUCAGAGAUGAAAUUGUGCCCGAAAGGGAACCUGAACACAGGUGCUGCAUGGCUGUCGUCAGCUCGUGUCGUGAGAUGUUGGGUUAAGUCCCGCAACGAGCGCAACCCUUGUCAUUAAUUGCCAUCAUUCAGUUGGGCACUUUAAUGAGACUGCCGGUGAUAAACCGGAGGAAGGUGGGGAUGACGUCAAGUCCUCAUGGCCCUUAUGGGUAGGGCUUCACACGUAAUACAAUGGUCGGUACAGAGGGUUGCCAACCCGCAAGGGGGAGCUAAUCUCAGAAAGCCGAUCGUAGUCCGGAUUGUAGUCUGCAACUCGACUACAUGAAGUCGGAAUCGCUAGUAAUCGCGGAUCAGCAUGUCGCGGUGAAUACGUUCCCGGGCCUUGUACACACCGCGUGUCU
rnacentral:rRNA from 1 species